CAGGAAAGAAACAAUCAGAAGGGUUUAGGAACAUCCAAAUCUCCUCAGCGGCUAAACCGACCCCAAACCACUUCUGGGAAGCCACCGGUAUCCACUGCUUUGGGGAACUCUGGAUGCUCGUUAUGCCAAACGCUCUCAAAGUAAGCAAAUCCCCAACUGCCGUUCCCCUCCACGGGUAAUUCUUAGGGUCUGGGAGGUGAGCUCGCCCGCCGAGGCAGAACUACGCGAGUCGCCUGGAGAGGCGUGAAGGGAGCCUGCACGUGUCCCCCAGCGGCUUCCCCACCGCCCCAAGAGUGGGGCAUGCAGGAGACCCCCAGUGUAGGGUUCAGAUUUAGGAAGGACGACCCCGUCGCCUGCCUCCCUCCCUCGCCCAGAGCCGGGAGCAAUGCUGGGGCAGAAGAGAGGACUUGGGAAGGAUCCGGACCUUACUUUCCCCGCGGGUCCCGGACCCGCAGCCCCCGGGUUGUGAGGCGGAAGCCAAAGGGGCGAACCCAGCGGAGCCGGCGUGCACGGACCCUGCCCCGCGGUUUAAGAGGGGUGCCUCCGGCCCGGGACAGCGGGGCUCCCGGAGCCCGAAAGCCCCACGAGCGGCGACAGCGGGGCCCGGCGCUGACGAGCGGAGGAAGCGGGUACAACGGCGCCGCCGUCAGGACCAUGCCCCCGAGGGCCCCGGGGCGCGCGGGCGCGGGGGGCGGCAAGCGGCGAGGGAGGCCCCAAGCCGGGGCGAGGUGGCUGUCCCCCCAGCCUGGCCCCGCACGGCCCCCCGAGGAGGGUGGGAGUGGGAGGCUGUCCGGGAGGGGGAGUGUGGAAGGAAAAAAGGGCCAAGGGAAGGACUUACUUUUCCCGCGGGACCCGGCGCCAGGACAGCUCCUCCCGGGAGGUGCGAGUUUGAAGGACCAGAGGCGACUGGAGCGGAGGCGGCGGUGGCGGCGGCAGCAGCGGCGUCCAGCUCUGCCUACCUCCCCGCCGCCAUCUUAACGCCCCUCCCCCAGCCCCCCCGCCCCGCCAGGAGGGGCGGGGGAGGGGCAACGGAUGAGGCGCCGCGCGCACGCAGCGCCCUCACGUGACUUCCUCCCUCCUCCCCCACCCGCCUCUCUGCGCCCCUCUCCGCCCCACCUCCCUCCUAGGUGAAGGAAGAUUAUUUCCCCCCCCAUCUUGACCACCCCCCAGUCUUCGCCGCCAAAAACGGACUCCGCCGGCUCUCCUCGGCCCGGUACCAGUUGUUGGAUCCAAGAGAAUUCCGGAACCCAAACGGUCCAUUACCGCGGCUCUGGGGUGGGCGAGGGGUGAGGGGGCCGGGUUUCCGAGAAGGGGGAGGGGGAAGGCGAAGGCCACCUAGGAGAGUCACGUGACUACUGUUUCCGCCGGCGCUCGCGGAGAGCUCGCGGUAAUUCCGUUUCCCCGCCCUUUUUUCCCCGCGGCCUGUCGGGAAGAAGGUCCGCGUGCCAGGGCUAUCGGGAGGUCGGACGGAGGGCCGCGCGCAUGCGCCCCGCGCCUGCUUUCAAACUCCAGGUAGGAAGGGCCCGGAGCUAUUUUCAGAACCUGUUAGGGUGGGGAGCUACGGCCCAGGAAGUUACCUAGCAGCGUUUCUGUCACUUGGAAAAUCUCUUUAUUACCUAGUUAGUCCUAGAAACAAAAUGUUUACAUAUUCAUUGCUUGUUAGGCUCGCUCAAAGCGCUUUAUUGGCAGUGAAACCACAAGUAACCCGGAGCCCUCGGCGCGUCCACGGCUAGAAUCAGAGCCUAAGGCGUGUGAGCUCGGCCAUCCCACGUCUGUCUUCACGCUCACCCGCAAGCCCAACACACUGGGGCUCCCAGUUAAUGAAUACUUAAGAGUAGGGCUGUCCCUACCGCUUCUCACUUCCUUGUUUUCACCUUUUCGUUAUUAUUAAGCGACCUAACACAAUAAACAUAUUACCUUGUUGGU
rnacentral:lncRNA from 1 species